rnacentral:rRNA from 1 species
CAGUCGCCACGGUAAUACGGAGGGUGCAAGCGUUAAUCAGAAUUACUGGGCGUAAAGCGUGCGUAGGCGGUUUGUUAAGUCUGCUGUGAAAUCCCCGGGCUCAACCUGGGAAUGGCAGUGGAUACUGGCAAGCUAGAGUGUGUCAGAGGAUGGUGGAAUUCCCGGUGUAGCGGUGAAAUGCGUAGAGAUCGGGAGGAACAUCAGUGGCGAAGGCGGCCAUCUGGGACAACACUGACGCUGAGGCACGAAAGCGUGGGGAGCAAACAGGAUUAGAUACCCCGGUAGUCCCUGUCUCUUAUAA